GACGAACGCUGGCGGCGUGCUUAACACAUGCAAGUCGAACGGAAAGGCUCCAGCUUGCUGGAGUACUCGAGUGGCGAACGGGUGAGUAACACGUGGGUAAUCUGCCCUGCACUCUGGGAUAAGCCUGGGAAACUGGGUCUAAUACUGGAUAUGACCUUUCUCCUUAUGGGGUUUGGUGGAAAGUUUUUCGGUGUAGGAUGAGCCCGCGGCCUAUCAGCUUGUUGGUGGGGUGAUGGCCUACCAAGGCGACGACGGGUAGCCGGCCUGAGAGGGUGAUCGGCCAAAUUGGGACUGGGUUAGGGCCCAGACCCCUACGGGGGGCAGCGGGGGGGAAUUUUGCAAAAGGGGCGGAAGCCGGAUGCAGCGACGCCGGGUGGGGGAUGACGGCUUUCGGGUUGUAAACCUUUUUCAGCAGGGACGAAGCGUAAGGGAGGGUACCUGCAAAAAAAGCCCCGGCUAAUUCAGU
rnacentral:rRNA from 1 species